AUGGCAAAAAGAACACGAAAAGCUUCAAAAUCCACGCCAAAGCUCACGAAAGCGGAAAACGGGAGCACUGAUCGGACGGCCCUGAUUAAGGCUGGGAUACGAUCACAAGGACGACUAGUCCUGGGCGGAGCUCACGGUGCCUGCGAGGAUUUCUUCGAAGAGACGCGAGAGAGCUCUCGUUCCUUUAUCUUUGGAAUCGAAGAAGAAAGGAGACCGCAACCCUGUUCUCGAGUUCAUCCCCACUGCACCGAAAACUCACAAAUAUACUCUUUGAUGCUGCAUCCGAGUGAGCUAUAAUGCUUUUUAGCAAAUGCUCUCUUUAAGAUAGCAUGUCCGAACAGCCUGACCAACUUCAAAAAGCUCUUGUUCAAGUCUGAGCAGCAGUUUACAGGAUACCGAGGAUGACAUAACUAUUGGCAGCAUUUUAGCUGAAGCAAAUCAGAAAAAUGAAAGAAGUCUUGGAAAGCGCCUGUCUCAUUUGGACUCCAUUCCACACACACCUCGAGUUAAUGGUGAAAUUCCUGAUGUUGAUAAUGCAACCUUAGAUCAUGAAAGGCUGCUACAAAGGUAACAGUGCAAGAUAUCCUUUUAAUAUGCCUUUUUUGUUUUUUCUUUCUUUGUUUCUUUUGAUAGAUAGCAUACUCAUGUUUGAUCUGUGUGUAAUUUAGUGUACUAAUUUAAUGCUUUGGCAAUAACAUUUGUUUUGUGCUGUCUUCAAUACAU